UACGUAGGUGGCGAGCGUUAUCCGGAAUUAUUGGGCGUAAAGAGCGCGCAGGUGGUUGAUUAAGUCUGAUGUGAAAGCCCACGGCUUAACCGUGGAGGGUCAUUGGAAACUGGUCGACUUGAGUGCAGAAGAGGGAAGUGGAAUUCCAUGUGUAGCGGUGAAAUGCGUAGAGAUAUGGAGGAACACCAGUGGCGAAGGCGGCUUCCUGGUCUGUAACUGACACUGAGGCGCGAAAGCGUUGGGGGCAAACAGGAUUAGAUACCCCCGUAGU
rnacentral:rRNA from 1 species